UGUGCAAAUUCGCGCACGAUGUCGCGUGCCGUCGACGCGUCGUCUUUGCGCACCUCUUACUUUCUUAUCAUAUAGGUACUGUCCCGUCGUUGUUUACGCAGUUUCGGCAUGCACAAUCGGUGGAUUGCAGCCAGUUUCGUGUCGGUCGCUAGUUAAUCCAGUUGUGUUUUGAGAGACUUAUAUCGUUUAUUCGUGUUAUACUCGAAGAUCAAUCGAAUGUUUAUUUGUACUUUGCGAUUAUAGUAAUUUGUUUAAUGUUCGGACAUGCCGGUUUUUGAUCGCGUUUGUUAUGUAGGUAUUACAAGUCACGUGAUAGUGGAUUUGAUAACAUUCUUCACUCGGCGUUGUGUUUGAUGUCAGUUACUAAGUUAAUCGUAAAUAUGUAUAUCGGCACCAUGUCGAUCCUCAUCAUUAAGAAAUAUCCAUCAUGCUCGUUUACAGCACUCGGUGUGCCUGGCAGUCCGAUAAGCUGUACACUGCCGGCGAACGCAAUGUCGUGGGACAGCC